GAUGAACGCUGGCGGUAUGCCUAACACAUGCAAGUCGUACGAGAGUUUUUAACUCUAGUGGCGGACGGGUGAGUAACACGUGAGAAUUUGCCUUUAGGAGGGGGACAACAAUUGGAAACGAAUGCUAAUACCCCAUAUGCUUUCGAGUGAAAUGGAUUUUAUCCGCCUAGAGAGAAGCUCGCGGCUGAUUAGCUUGUUGGUAAGGUAAGAGCUUACCAAGGCGACGAUCAGUAUCUGGUUUGAGAGGACGAUCAGACACACUGGAACUGAGACACGGUCCAGACUCCUACGGGAGGCAGCAGUGGGGAAUUUUCCGCAAUGGGCGAAAGCCUGACGGAGCAAUACCGCGUGAGGGAAGAAUGGCCUAUGGGUUGUAAACCUCUUUUUUCAGGGAGGAAUAAAAUGACGUGUACCUGAAGAAUAAAGCAAUCGGCUAACUCCGUG
rnacentral:rRNA from 1 species